GAUCCUGGCUCAAGAUGAACGCUGGCGGCGUGCCUAACACAUGCAAGUCGAACGGGAACAGAAUGAAACCUAGUGAUUUUUGUUUUAGUGGCGGACGGGUGAGUAACGCGUGGGUAACCUGCCGUAUACAGGGGGAUAACACUUAGAAAUAGGUGCUAAUACCGCAUAAGCGCACAGCUCCGCAUGGAGCAGUGUGAAAAGCGUAAACGGUAUACGAUGGACCCGCGUCUGAUUAGCUAGUUGGCGGGGUAGAGGCCCACCAAGGCGACGAUCAGUAGCCGGCCUGAGAGGGUGACCGGCCACAUUGGGACUGAGACACGGCCCAAACUCCUACGGGAGGCAGCAGUGGGGAAUAUUGCACAAUGGGGGGAACCCUGAUGCAGCGACGCCGCGUNAGUGAAGAAGUAUUUCGGUAUGUAAAGCUCUAUCAGCAGGGAGGAAAAUGACGGUACCUGAGUAAGAAGCCCCGGCUAACUACGUGCCAGCAGCCGCGGUAAUACGUAAGGGGCAAGCGUUAUCCGGAUUUACUGGGUGUAAAGGGAGCGUAGACGGUGAGACNAGUCUGAAGUGAAAGCCCGGGGCUCAACCCCGGGACUGCUU
rnacentral:rRNA from 1 species